UUGGUGGAAUGGCCUGGAGAGUUAUAAGAACUCCAGGGUUAAGCGUUCUCGCUUGAAAUCUUAGGAUGAGUGACCUCCUGGGAAGUUGUCCAUUCCACCUAUGGUACAAAACCGUUAGGCUUAUGGUCAAAGCGGACAAUUCUUCUAGUGGUUGGAGUCCGGUCGUUACAAAUUGUAUGUAGACUUCUUUUAUUAUCUCAUUAAUUCUCCCAUUUGGUAGGUGCUGAGAGUCAGUCAUUUGGUGGAAGAGUA
rnacentral:misc_RNA from 1 species